rnacentral:rRNA from 1 species
CACGUAGGGACCGAGCGUUGUCCGGAUUCAUUGGGCGUAAAGAGCUCGUAGGCGGCUGUUCAAGUCGAACGUGAAAACUCGGAGCUCAACUCCGAGCCUGCGUUCGAUACUGGACGGCUAGAGUCUGGUAGGGGGGAUCUGGAAUUCCUGGUGUAGCGGUGGAAUGCGCAGAUAUCAGGAGGAACACCGGUGGCGAAGGCGGGGAUCCUGGGCCAGUACUGACGCUGAGGAGCGAAAGCGUGGGGAGCAAACAGG